AUGGAUCUUAAAACCCGGAUCAUCUCCUGGAAUGUUCGUGGGCUAGGAAGGAACAAAAAAUGCAAUGACGUUAAAUCUGCUCCUUCCGGUCUCGAUGCCUCCUUCAUUUGCCUCCAAGAAACUAAACUUGAUGACAUCUCCCUUUUUAAGGCUACAUCUUUUCUUCCACCUAACCUGCGAUCCUUUCAUUUUCAUCCCUCAAUUGGAACUGCCGGUGGGAUCCUUACCGCCUGGAACGAUCAGGACUUCUCGGUUUCUUAUGUAACCUCGCUCACGUUUUCCUUAACUUUACACUUCUCAGCCAAGGCUAACAAUGAUUCUUUCUCAAUCUCGAAUAUAUAUGGUCCUUGUUCUACCUCGGACAAGGAAGCUUUUGCCAAUGAAUUACUCCAGCUGAGCCAAUCUGUCUAUGGCCCAUGGGUGCUUAUCGGCGACUUUAACUUCACUCUCAGGCCAUGUGAUCGCUCCAACAAUAACUUCGACCACUCUGAGGCUUCUUUCUUCUCCGCUGUGCUUAAUCAGAUUAAGCUUCAGGAGCUCCCCCUGCUUGAUAGACUUUAUACCUGGUCCAACCAACAGACCCCUCCUAUCCUCGUUCGUUUAGAUAGGGCUUUCGUUAACACCGACUGGAGCUUUCUUCUGCGAGACUCCUCCCUAACUUCAUCUUGCCGAACGACAUCCGACCAUGUUCCGUUAGUCCUUUCUGCAUCCUCCAAAAUUCCUAAACCAUCCAUAUUUCGUUUCAACAAUGGUCUUCUGCAUUUCCAGCCCUUCAAAAAUAUUAUCUCACAAAAUUGGAACAGUGUCCCUCCCUCUCAGAACUUGGCCUCUCUUUGCCUAAAACUAAAGAGGGUGCGGGCCGCAGCGAAGAUUUGGGCUAAAAAGGCUAGGUCUCCCCUGGUGAUCACCAAAAACUGUAAAUCUGUCAUCACCUUCCUCGACAAGAUAGAAGAAUUGCGUAGUCUGUCCACCCUAGAACGCUCCUUGCGCACCCAAGUGGCUCUCUUGCUGCAUCAGCACAAUGCUCUCUCCGCGCUUUACUGGCGUCAACGUGCCAAAAUUAAAGACUGUGCCCUUGGAGAUGAGAACUCAGACUACUUCCACCUUCACGCCACCAUUCGAAUGCGGAAAAACCAGCUAAAGGCCAUUACCGUUAAUGGCAUCGAUGUUUCCUCUCACUCAGGUAAACAUCAGGCCCUGCGAGAUUACUUCAAAAAAAAUCAUUGGCUCUACUAUCGCCUGUGA
rnacentral:rRNA from 1 species